rnacentral:rRNA from 1 species
CACGUAGUUAGCCGGUGCUUCUUCUCCACGGUACUGUCACCCACCAAGGUGGGCUUCGUCCCGGGCGAAAGGAGUUUACAACCCGAAGGCCUUCCAUCCCCCACGCGGCGUCGCUGCAUCAGGCUUGCGCCCAUUGUGCAAUAUUCCCCACUGCUGCCUCCCGUAGGAGUCUGGGCCGUGUCUCAGUCCCAAUGUGGCCGUCCACCCUCUCAGGCCGGCUACCCGUCGCCGCCUUGGUAGGCCAUUACCCCACCAACAAGCUGAUAGGCCGCGGGCUCAUCCCACACCGCAAAAGCUUUCCACCAUGACCCCUACGCCAUGGUCGUAUGUGGUAUUAGACCCAGUUUCCCAGGCUUAUCCCACAGUGCGGGGCAGAUCACCCACGUGUUACUCACCCGUUCGCCACUCGAGUACCCACCACCAAGGUGGCAGGCCUUUCCGUUCGACUUGCAUGUGUUAAGCACGCCGCCAGCGUUCGUCCUGAGCCAGGAUCGAAACUACU